AGUGAACGCUGGCGGCAGGCCUAAUACAUGCAAGUCGAACGGCAGCACAGCAGAGCUUGCUCUGUGGGUGGCGAGUGGCGGACGGGUGAGGAAUACAUGGGAAUCUGCCCAGUCGUGGGGGAUAACGUAUGGAAACGUACGCUAAUACCGCAUGCGCCCUACGGGGGAAAGUCGGGGACCGCAAGGCCUGGCGCGAUUGGAUGAGCCCAUGUUCGAUUAGCUAGUUGGCGGGGUAAAGGCCCACCAAGGCGACGAUCGAUAGCUGGUCUGAGAGGAUGAUCAGCCACACUGGAACUGAGACACGGUCCAGACUCCUACGGGAGGCAGCAGUAGGGAAUAUUGGACAAUGGGGCAACCCUGAUCCAGCCAUGCCGCGUGUGUGAAGAAGGCCCUCGGGUUGUAAAGCACUUUAAGCGGGGAGGAAGGCCUGAUGGUUAAUACCCAUUGGGAUUG
rnacentral:rRNA from 1 species